UUAAAUUUCAAGUGCUGUUUGUGAAAAACAAACAUAUUGAAGUGGAAAUAACCUUUGAUAGCAUUUGUUUUAUUUUGGUGAGUUUUUAUAUUUAUUUUAUAUUAAUUUUGAGCCCAUUGUAUGAAAGUUUAUUUUUUUUUUAUUUUUUUCCCAGGUCAAUUAUAUGUAGUCGGUUGAAUCGACAAUAUCAACAACAACAACGAAAUAGAAAGUCAUUGAAUUUCUUCCAGUUUUCUUUGCAUGCGGGUUGGUUUGUUGCAACUUUUAACGAAAAUUGAAUUGACAAUAUUCAUUUUAUUAUGGUGACUUAGAAUUUUUAGGUACAUACGUGGUCACAUAUGACGACAAAUUCAAAUUAUCCGAUUUGAGUGGAUUGUUCAUUCAAGGAAGAAUUAAGCCAAAACCAGAAUAGAUUUUCUCCACAUUUUGUUCAAAUUGUUCAACAAAAUUUAAAUACUAUUAACAUUGUUAAUAAAUUGUAUUUUCUAUUGGUCGAAUUUCGUCCCCGUCCGGCGACUCCAGUUGUAUACAAAAACGUAAAAACAUUAAUUCGUAAAAUAAACUUAUAUUAUUGAUUUACA